rnacentral:lncRNA from 1 species
CUUUGGCUUAAUUAUUAACCCGUGGCAUUUUAAACAAAGUAUAACAGAUGUAUAGCAGUGUCUCCAGUUAUUGAAUCCUAAACUGGAUAUCAGCUCUUUAUAUCUUCCUUUGCUUCCAUUCAUUACGAUUAUUUUUCUUGCGAUUUAAUGGUCAAUAAUUUUAAGUUACCAGAAUCACUAAAUACUAAAAAAAUCAAAACUGCUUUUUCAAGUUUAAGACGUGCAUGUUAGCGUAAAGAUCGACUAAUUGUGCACUGACGAAAUCUCUUUUUUGGAAAGGGAAUUAAAACGAGAAAACAAACAUG